rnacentral:Y_RNA from 1 species
GGCCAGUCUGAGUACAGUGGUGUUAAGUAAUCACAGCCAGUUACAGAUUUCCUUGUUUCUUCCCCACCCCCACUGCUUCACUUGACUAGCCUUAA